GAGCGACGGUGAGGGCCGCGCUCCGCAGCCCUGUGAGGCGCUGAGGGGCGCCUGCCUCCCCUCCGCCCCUCUGCCGGCGAGCGGCAGUUCGCAGGGAUCGUUACUAACGUCCCCGAGGCAGCCCAUGUCCUCACAAGCCUUCCUUGCCCCGGUGGCUUCGAGCACGCGGAGACGUAGCCGGCGGUGAGGCGGUGCGACGCCUGCCCGGGGACUUCUGUCUCUGACGCGUCCAGUCAUCUCGCACGUGGACAGAGAUCACAGGGGCAGCCAGCACUGCCUGUAGAGAUGCGCAAGAACAGGAUAUUCAGCACUCAUUCCCCUGUCCUCCGUGCUUCCAGGAACAUCUCUGCAAAGGACUGGAAUAUCUUUAAGAAAGCUCAGUCUGAACUGACACCAAAGCUCGGCCCCUGCACUGAUCAAAACUUUGCUACCAGAGGUAGAUCCUGAUGAGCUGCUGCAGCAGAGCAUCUGAAAAGUGGACUUUACCAACUUGAAUGCAAGAACUUCAGUGCAAAAAGGAAGACAUUCCCGGAGACUUGUGACUGCAGCCAAAUAUAGGCUUACUACCGAGGCUGAGUACCUUCUGGAAACUCACAAGCAAUACUGUAUUCCUUCAGAAGAAAAAGAAGUAAACUUAAAGGGCUGAAAGGCACACAUGCACACAAAAGGAAUGAGGAAGAUGGCUACAGAAGGGAUCACAAAAAACAAGCAAAAAUACUUUUAAAAGAACCAUGCAACAAGCACACCUGCAUUUUAAUCCUGUGAGAGGAAACGGGUCCAGGGCCUCCUCAGAGACAGCGACAAGUGCGUAGCUCAUCAGGAAGAGCCUGUCCUGCCUGCAUCCAACCUCCUGCCUCUGUGAAUCAGGGCAGGGAUGCAAGAAAUGGAGCAGAGCUCUUCAGAGACGCUGCCAGGCCAGAGCAGGACACUGGUACCUCAUUUAUGGCGAGGAGAGAGAGGACCACAGCGCGUGCAGAGUUCCCACAGCAAGCAGCUCCAACUACGCUUAUUCCUUCCUUCCCCAACUCCUAACUAACAGGAGGUAAGGUAUAAAAGCAAUGUUUUCCAUGACAGUAUCUUUUCAUUUUUCUUCUUUUUUGUCCUAUUCUCUGUGGGAGAUUAUGCUUAAAGUGCCCAGAGCUUCAAAGCAUCUCCUCAGGGAGAAAUUCCCUCCACCUCCCUAUUCUUUUUGUUCCCACUCUGCCUCUUGUUCUGGUGCUACUCUCCAUUGUGCACGCAUCCUUCCUCAUCCCUCUUUUCCCCUUGUGGCUCCAAACUAUUUCCUUCAUGCAAUUCCUUCCUCUGAUUACCUCCUACCCUUGGGUUCCUCUGCUUAUCUACUCUAGGAACAGACUGGGAUUGAAAAUGGCUUCAGCUCUCCCAGAGAUCUCCCAGCUCUCUACCCACUCCCAUAUCUCUAGAGCCGGAAAAAUACCAAAAUGAAUGUAUUCUGCCUUUCUGUUUCACAAAUCUAAUUCAUUCCGAUUCUCCCCAAGAAAACAGCUAGUCUUUUUUUUUUUUUUUUUCUUCACAUAAACUAACAUAUUGUAUUAAUUUGGUGUAUGAGCUGCUUUUUAGAAAUGGACUGUGUGAACGCACAUGCAGAAUGAAUCAGCCGUGAGUGAUUCACAGGCUUUAAAGGAAAACCUUAACAACGCGCUCCGAGGCCGAAUGUCUCCAUAUCUCCAGGCCAUUUAGCCUAAUCAGGGAAAACUCUGGGGUUACUGCUCUGUUUGCUCUUGGGGAAGCACGUUGUGUCGCGUGCUGAACCUUCCGCUGAGCCUUCUAACACAAGUGAAAUGCACGAGUUAAAUGUGCUUCAUGCGUCAAAGACUUGACGGUCAGCGUCUUUAAUUCUAUACUGUAAUAGUAAAUAAGUGAAUUGGGACAGUCCGUGUUAAGACUGACA